GGGUGAUCGCUGGCUGCCCUCUGGCUGCGCUGCCAGAGGACGUGCAGUCGGUCGCUCCACUGCAGCCACGCCUCAUCAGUUGAGGCUUGGCUGUCGAUGGGUGCGGAUGCUGCAUCGCCGCGGGAGAAAGGGUCCUCAGGAUGUCCCCAGAGUAUCAUCGUGUCCUCGUCCUUCGAGGUGCAUUUCCACAACGUCCUGAGGAUGACAUUCGUGAACUGUCUGUGAAGAGUCAUUCAGGAUGUACGCAAAUGACAAUCACUGGAAGCUCCUAUGAUGACAGCCUGUGGACUUCCUCCGUUUAUCCCAUCACGGACGAGGACGUGAUGACACUUUGAGGACAUCCUGAGGACCGCGUGUGUUCUUUGGAAGGUUUGGCAAGCCGUCGUCCAGGCGGCAGAUCUGUACCAAGAAACGAGCUCGUUGGCCAAGCACUCCUGAACGUCCUGAAUAUCUGGACAUCCAUCCAAUAUCUGUGGGAUGUCCCGAAACGACAUUCGCGUUUCUAUUUUAUCGAGUAAAUCACAGAUGUCCUAGGUAUGUCUGCAGGAUAUCUCGCUUUGGACAUUUGAAUGGCGGAAAAGCCUGGAGAUCCCUUGAAUACCCAUGAAAGAUCCAGUAUACGAGAUUUUGGGCAUUGGUUGAACGUCACAGGAACGUCGCCAGGACGUUGACUGAAGAUAUGCGAAUAAACGUGAAGUUUAUGACA